rnacentral:rRNA from 1 species
AAGCGUUCAUGACCAGACUUGGGCGCGGCGGAUCAUCCGGGGUUCUCUCCGGUGCACUUCGCCGCGUUCAGGCCAGCAUCAGUUCGUCGCGGGGGAAAAAGGCUUCGGGAACGUGGCUCCUCCGGGAGUGUUAUAGCCCGUUGCAUAAUACCCUGCGGUGGACUGAGGACCGCGCAUCUGCAAGGAUGCUGGCGUAAUGGUCAUCAACGA